UCCCUGGUGGCUCAGGUGGUAAAGCAUCUGCCUGCAAUGCGGGAGACCUGGGUUCGAUUCCUGGGUCGGGAA
rnacentral:tRNA from 1 species